CAAAGAAAGAAAACCAGUUUUUAAGAAAAAGAAUGAGAGUGAAAGACAAAAAUAUUAUAUCAAGAAACUACCCACGUAGGUAACCAUAUAUUAGCCUUCUCUCACGUGGACUCUGGAACUGGACUGCUGGUGCUGAAUCUGGCCUCUGCCACUUAGACCUUGGGUAGUUUCCUAAAUCCACAUUCCAACCUUCUUUAUUGGGCUCUAAUUUACAUAGGUUGCAACUUACACAUCCAGCUGCCUGAUGCCGAAGCUCUAAGGAUGUGGCCCCUUCUUCCUUGCCCUUGCAGAAGCAUUAAAAAUAUCCAAACCACAAGAAGCCUCAGAAACCUAGCUAACCCCACCCACUUGCCAUACACAAGCCCCCUUUUAACAGUUCCAGCUGCUGUUACCCUUUCCCUGGGGGUAGCACCCUGUGUGACUCUGUGCAGCAGCCUUCUCUCAUAAGGAGCUAUAAGGAAUAAAGUGUCUGCCUUUCACCUGUCCAGGGGUCCUUGUGUUCUGCCCCACCCAUCAUCCAAAC